rnacentral:tRNA from 1 species
UGGCUCAGAGGUUAAAGCAUCUGCCUGCAGUGCAGAAGACCUGGGUUUGAUCCCUG